rnacentral:lncRNA from 1 species
GAAGGUCCUGUGUGUCGAGGUUAGAACUCCUCCCUGGCGUGAGUACGGGGUGGUUAUCAAGAUCUCCUUCUCCUUCCUGACCCUGCAAGGUUACCAAACAGCCUGGACUUUUGAAUCAGAUCUCUGGAGCAAGCAUUAAGAACUCCAGCCACACAGAUCUCAGGGCCUGGCCCUUUCACUCAGCCGCGGAGGCUGCUUGAGGGAUGGGGAGAGGUGAUUUCACUCAGCGCCAACGCGCAGGAAAAACUCAUAGACGACAGUCGGACUAAUACUCGUCCCUUAAGAAUGCACUACCUGAAGUUAGUCGCAAGUCAUCUUCAAUCGAGGAAAGGAAAAAAAAAAUCCUCACAUCUAGAAGCUUCGCCGAAGCCACUUCCAACAGCACGCGAACAUGUUCGCGCACACCCUUCUCUGUGCACGCCCCAAAGCCUGCUCUCUCGCGGGCAGGUGAAAAUACAGGCUGCCCAGGCCAGAGGAGAGAAGGCGGCGGAGGAAUACAUCGCUUAGGGUUGUUGAGAAACUAGGAAUAACUGUUUUCAAUACUCUGCUCUGCUACCAGGACCUUAGGUCCCUCUUGGGACCCUGAAAAGUGGCUUUGCCCCACGAUGGGGGGUGGGGGGGCAGUGACUCUAGCUCUGGCCCUCCUACUGGGAGCUUAAAGUUGGGGUGAAGGGUUUAAGGAGGAGCCGAGGGGGCGGGCCCUGUUAGUUUGCAGUUGUAAGUGCAGCUGUGCCUGGGACACCAAGAAGGAGAGUCUCGCCCCCUAAUGCUCACGGUGCUUGCUUAGAGGACCCCCGAGGUUAACUACCGGAGCUUCUGCUCUCUCCUGAGCCCCAGGCCAACACAGGACGAUGGUGGCCGGGAUGCCAGCCGGGAUGCCUAAACACAGUAAGACUUCAGUUGCCUCUCAUUUGGCUGUUCAGAGCUAAUGUCUACCAGAGGAGGUUUUAGAAGUGGGUCGCACCCGUCCUGAAUCCAUCCUGUGAGGUGGCAGAGGGUCAGAGGGUCACUCCUUCUUGUUAAAGGUUAGCAUAAUAAGUAUUAUUAUUACUAGGGUAGAGGAAGAUGUGGAGGAAAAAAAAAGCCUAGGGUGCCUAGGACACUAACCAACCUUACAGCUUACCCAAAGUCCAGAACCUCCCAUUGUACACCUUCUCUCCCCAACACAGAUCCCUAAGGUCUCCUCUUCAUCUGGCAUGUGUGUUCACAGAAGGUACAGUGUGCGAGAACACACUUAGGAAAUUUUAGGAACGCUAACCACAGUACUGGAGGAAUAAAGAUGUGUCGAAGGAAUGGAUGGAAUGCAUGAACACAUACACCUUGUUGUCCAGAUGCAGACAAAAGCUACCAUGUCCGCUUGGAGUGACGCCCAGACACGCACAGAGAUGUACAGGAAGCCAAGGAGAGUGGGAUCCACCAGAGUACAGUACAAGUACAGAGUACAGUGCAAGAUGCCCAGUGGCCCUGGAGAAAAACCUUCGUUGACUCUUCUGUAUGGAAAGUUUCUGAAGAAAGGGCCAAGGAAUGAUCUGCCCCAGAGGCUGCCUUUAGGCUCCCAUACCUGCUCUGUUUGGAGACACCCAGAAGAGGCCAGUACAGCAAAGACUCUUUUUGGUUUGGUUAUUUCUGUUGCUUGUUGUCUUUUUUUCAUCCUUUGCCUGGGAAAUUGUGCUCUGGAAUAGGGCUUGAGUAGACAGCACAGGCCUCCAGUAGAUAACAAGAGAUUCUCAAUCUCCAAUGAGGACAUUCCGUUCUAAGGAAGCUUCCAGAUAGGGGAAAGCCCUGUUUUGUCCCCCUUUUCUCCUCUGAGAUCUGAAAAAAUAGAAAGAAAAAAAAAGAAAAACAAAACAAAUAUAAAAACUAUAGCCCAAUCCCAUGUACAUCAAAUAAAUCCACAAGGAAUAUGCUAGAUCAAGCUAAAUUAUGUAUUUAACUCAUUUUCUUUUGUGAGAUACUGAGAAGUCUUCAACUUCCUCUAUUCCAGGCAGGGAUCGAGGACCUGGCCUGGCAGAGGUUCCACCACCAGGGUUUCCCACAGUGGUUCUGGGACUAGGCGUAAGGUGUCCUGACUUGUUUUCUCUGUCACCUCUUCUGGGGAACUGGGGAACUGUCCCAGACAAUGGCUGCCCCAGUUCCCUCUAGAAGAGACAGCCCCCACCCCCAGAACCCGUUGCCCUCCAACCUCACCUCAUUUUCUCUUGAGCUCAUUCUCCGAGCUCUUAAAGUAGUAGGUGUGAGUCUUGGACCAUUUCUUUAAAAGAAACAACUAAGGAAAGGGAGGGAGGGGAGGAGGGAGGAGGGGAGCGGGAAGGAGAGCUACCUCCUAGACUAACGCGUCCAGGAACCACUCUCUAAGGAGCAAAAGAGAGCCUGUGUUGUAAAGUAGAAGUGAUCCCCCGACAUUGCUGCAGGGCGCCUUGCAACAGAUGUAACUGUCCACUGAAGAGACAGAGGGUGGGCAUGGGGAAGAUUUUUUUUCCUCCCUUUUGUGAACAGCUCUUACACUUUUCCAAGACACAUUGAGUUCCUGGACAUUUUUGUGAAUUUGUUCUUGAUUGUGUUUUGAACAAUAAACUGUGAAAAUCAACUUCAA